rnacentral:lncRNA from 1 species
GAAAAUAAGAAGAAACAGAAAGAGGCUACUCAAAGAGAAGAAAAUGAGAAGCGGCAAAAAGAAGCUCUCGAGAGGGAAGAGUAUGAGAAGAGACAAAAAGAGGCUUUUGAAUGGGCAAAUAAGAAGAAACAGAAAGAGGCUGCUCAAAGAGAAGAAAAUGAGAAGCGGCAAAAAGAAGCUCUCGGGGGGGAAGAGUAUGAGAAGAGACAAAAAGAGGCUUUUGAAUGGGAAAAUAAAAAGAAACAGAAAGAGGCUACUCAAAGAGAAGAAAAUGAAAAGCAGCUAAAAGAAGCUCUCAAGAGGGAAGAAUAUGAGAAGAGACAAAAAGAUGCCC